GACGAACGCUGGCGGUGUGCUUAACACAUGCAAGUCGAACGGUAAGGCCCUUUCGGGGGUACGCGCGUGGCGAACGGGCGAGUAACACGCGCGUAACUUGCCCUCACCUCUGGGAUAACUGACUGAAACGGUCGCUAGUACAUGCUAUGUACUAGCUCGUCCUCCUGUGGGUUGGAAGGAAUUUUUCGGUUGGGGGGGGAGUCGCGGCCUAUCAUCUUGUUGGUGGGGGAGUGGCUCACCAAGGCUUCGACGGGUAGCCGGCCUGGGAGGGGGGACGGCCACAUUGGGGCUGAGGUACGGCCCAAGCUCCUACGGGGGGGAGCAGGGGGGAAUAUUGCCCAAUGGACGGGAGUCUGAUGCAGGAACGGCGGGGGCGGGAUGACGGGCUUCGGGUUGUAAACCGGUUUCAAUUGUGACGAAGCUUUUUGUGACGGUAGCAGUAGAAGAAGCACCGGCUAACUACGUG
rnacentral:rRNA from 1 species